rnacentral:lncRNA from 1 species
AUUCUAUUAGACUUACUAGGAUUAUUCUUGCAUUUCUACUUAUCUUUCAUAGCUAGGUGCCCAAUGCGUUUUUAAGUAAGAACACAUGUAUUAUAACAACAUUGUCCUAUAUUGUGACAAAAUUUAUAUUGUUAUAGAUUGAAAAGGUCUUAGAUCUUAGAGAUAGUUUACUCUUAUUUCAACCUCAAAUUCUUGAUUAUUAUCCACUUCUAUAUGAAGAUGUGAUAUUUUUUUUUUUUUUUUAAGAUAUUUAACAUCUUAUAUGGCUCAAGAAGAGACAUAUAGAAUAAAAAAUAGAUCUUCAUAGACUCUAAUAGAUAUAAUGAAUAAGCAAUAUAAAUGACAUAUUUAUA